rnacentral:snRNA from 1 species
ACACAUGCUUCGAAGCUUCGGUGUCACGGUUAACAUCACUAGGGUGAGGUAUUGCCAUUGCACUUCGGCGUACUGACCUCUGCGAAUUCCCCAAAUGUGGGAAUCUCGACUGCAUAAUUUAUGGUAGUGGGGGACUGCGUUCGCGCUCUCCCUCU